AAAAGAUGGUUCUGCUAUCACUCUUGGAUGGACCUGCGGUGCAUUAGCUAGUUGGUAAGGUAACGGCUUACCAAGGCAAUGAUGCAUAGCCGAGUUGAGAGACUGAUCGGCCACAUUGGGACUGAGACACGGCCCAAACUCCUACGGGAGGCAGCAGUAGGGAAUCCUCCACAAUGGACGCAAGUCUGAUGGAGCAACGCCGCGUGAGUGAAGAAGGGUUUCGGCUCGUAAAGCUCUGUUGGUAGUGAAGAAAGAUAGAGGUAGUAACUGGCCUUUAUUUGACGGUAAUUACCUAGAAAGUCACGGCUAACUACGUGCCAGCAGCCGCGGUAAUACGUAGGUGGCAAGCGUUGUCCGGAUUUAUUGGGCGUAAAGCGAGUGCAGGCGGUUCAAUAAGUCUGAUGUGAAAGCCUUCGGCUCAACCGGAGAAUUGCAUCAGAAACUGUUGAACUUGAGUGCAGAAGAGGAGAGUGGAACUCCAUGUGUAGCGGUGGAAUGCGUAGAUAUAUGGAAGAACACCAGUGGCGAAGGCGGCUCUCUGGUCUGCAACUGACGCUGAGGCUCGAAAGCAUGGGUAGCGAACAGGAUUAGAUACCCUGGUAGUCCAUGCCGUAAACGAUGAGUGCUAAGUGUUGGGAG
rnacentral:rRNA from 1 species